rnacentral:tRNA from 1 species
GAGGGUAUAGCUCAAGUGGUAGAGCUGCAUGCUUAGCAUACCAAGGUCCUGGGUUCAAUUCCCAGUACUUCCU